UACGGAAGGGGCAAGCGUUGUUCGGAAUCAUUGGGCGUAGAGGGCGCGUAGGUGGUUCUGUAUGUCUACCGUGAAAGCGUACGGCUCAACCGUAUUUUGUCGGUGGAAACUGCAGGACUUGAGGCUGGGAGGGGCUGGUGGAAUUCCCUGUGUAGCGGUGAAAUGCGUAGAGAUGGGGGAGAACACUCGUGGCGAAGGCGGCCAGCUAGACCAGUUCUGACACUGAGGCGCGACAGCGUGGGGAGCAAACAGG
rnacentral:rRNA from 1 species